ensembl:lncRNA
CUGCCUGCUUAUCUUGAGCCUAAAAAUGAACUAAAAUUCAAGAGCGAUAAUAAAGUAAACCAAAGUGGGAAAAUACUUUGGUAUUUGGACUCCCAUGUCAGAGGACUGUCUCUUGCCUCUGGGGUUUGAGGAGAUGAGCCUGUCCACAGGAUGGGCCCCUCGCUCAGAUAUGAAAAUGCGUGACGUAGUCACAAACAAGACCUGGUGGAACCGAAAAUAAUAAGGGCACUUUUGGCUACUCACCCUUGUUCAGCAUUGGGGGGAAAAUAGGGGAGAUAUUAUACCUAUUGCCAUGUCAACCGUAACAACCCAACGUCUUAACAGCUCGCGGUAACUAUUCAUUUGGUUAAAUCCGAUUCAGUGUCUUCCACCUUCCCGUUGGAAAUGCCUGAGUCUCUCUCAGAUGUGAACGUUCUCUCUCCGAGGUGGUUUCCCUCUUUCGCCACGACUCUGCUUGUCGACAACGAUCCAUGGGAGAGCCUGUUUGAGUCUUUCCGCUGGUGAUGUCGCCUUUCUCCUGGCGGUAUACUCCACUGGGAUGCCCCUCGACUUCAGAUCCUCAGUCGCCUCGUCUGCAUGCUCGUAUGUCACCGGGCCAUUUUCCAGAAAUACCUGCAUUUUUGCCGGGAAGGGUGUUUGGAAGCGUAUACCCUACUCUUUAAGUGCUUUCUUAAUGGGGGUGUAAUCUUUCCUUCUUUUCAGUAUCUCUCCCGCUUAGUCAUGAUCAAAGAACACUCGUUGGCCUUGGAAUCUAACAGGAUUUUUCCAGGUUGCAUGUAAGACUUUCUCUUUGACUGAGAAUUUUAGGAACCGUACUAUUAUGGGUCUUGGUGGGGCGCUACUGAGAGGGUUUAGGGCCAGAGCUCGGUGUGCUCUCUCAAUUCCCAGUGUCGUCAGUGUCGUCUUCAAGUCUGUCUUUGAAUCGACCAUCCACGAAUUUGGGCAUAGAGUCUUUUUCUGCGCCCUCUACCACGUUAUAAAGUCUAAUGUUGUUUCGACGUGAGAAACCCUCGAGUUCUGUCACUUUUACCUGUAGCGCGUGUUGGCUUUUCAGUGAUUGUUCAAGUAUUUCCUUGACUGUGGAGUUCCAUGUGUCUGUUUGCCCAAUGCGCUGUUCUGCGUCCCCCAUUGUUAGUAUAAUUUCAUUAUUCCAAUAUGUUGUCAUUAAUUGAAUUCACUUAGUCUAUUUUAUGAGAAUUUGUAAGAUUUUUAUUUGUAUAAAAUAGACAGAGACCAGUCUUAUCAAAAAUAGAUAAUAGUAUUUAUUCUCGGAGCGCACUGCCAUGUAACCACAAACAACAGUUUAUAUACAAAAUAUGUAUUCUCAUAGGUAUUCUUUCUCCCAACAGUUCAAAAGUUCAUUCGAGAUAAACCUUCCGAAGUUUUCAUCCAUCACCAUUAAGCAGACAGUUCCAGCUAAUGGAAAACCUAAGAAGACACAUACUGCCUUAUCUGAACAUUCCAGAGCUAAGUGGAGUCGGUUCAACCAUAGGUCAAUUACUCUUUCUGCUUACUUAAAAAAACACUUCCAAUCUUCUCCAACCUGGCUGGAAUGGUAUUUAUUUAAUGUAAUUACCCCCUGUUUCAGGCUCCACAAGCCCUCACUUAUGAAUUCAUAUUGUUAAUCAGAUAUCAUAAAACAGAGUAUAAGUUUACUUAGUUACAGUUCUAUUUAAAAUGGGGAUAUUGUUUAGUCAUUAUUCAUAAAAUUCCUAAAACCCAUUCUUGUAGAUAUGCUGUGAAGUUCUUCUUUGUUUUCUCCAAGUUUCUGGUUAAUGUCCUUCUUGAACUCAUUUAGUUAUUUUCUUACAUCUUCUCGAAGUUCCUCUCGUAAGCCUGUGAGCGCCUCGUGCAAUUCCUCCUUUAUCACCUCACGAAAUGAGGGUUAUUUUGCUGCUGCUAUCUUAUUUGCGCUGGCAUUAGCCAUCUCGGGUUCAUCGACGAUUAUAUCUUCUGCUGUCUUGUUACGGGCUGUUGCUGUAGCUCCGUGACCUUUUCCUAUUUUCCCCUUUCCAUUUUGCGUAAGUUAUUACAAUGCUCAGAGUAAAUACUUGAAUUUAGGGGGGGGGAUACCCAACCGAUGUGCAGUGUGAAAAACUAGGCAGCCAUUCCUAAGUUGUGUCACCGGAACCCCCUUUUCCAACAGUUUUGAAGGAGUUCCCACAUAUGCUGAGCACUUGUUGGCUGCUUUUCCCUCACUCUGCAGUCCAACUCAUCUCACACCAUCUCAAUUGGGUUGUGGUCGGGUGAUUGUGGAGGCCAGGUCAUCUGAUGCAGCACUCCACUACUCUCCGUCUUGGUCAAAUAGCUUUUACACAGCCUGGAGGUGUGUUUGGGUUAUUGUCCUGUUGAAAAACAAAUUAUAGUCUCAGUAAGCGCAAACCAGAUGGGAUGGCAUAUCGCUGCAGAAUGCUGUGGUAGCCAUGCUGGUUAAGUGUGGCUUGAAUUCUAAAUAAAUCACAGACAGUGUCACUUGCAAAGCACCCCCACACCAUCACACCUCCUUCACCAUGCUUUACGGUGAGAACCACACAUGUACUCUGCAUCUCACAAAGACAGCGGUUGGAACUAAAAAUCUCAAAUUUGGAUUCAUCAGACCAAAGGUCAAAUUUCCACCGGUCUAAUGUCCAUUGCUCGUGUUUCUUAGCCCAAGCAAGUCUCUUCACCUUUUGGUGUCCUUUAGUAGUGGUUUCUUUGCAGCAAUUCGACCAUGAAGGCCUGAUUCACAGUCUUCUCUGAACAGUUGAUGUUGAGAUGUGUCUGUUCCUUGAACUCUGUGAAGCAUUUAUUUGGGCUGCAUUUUCUGAGGCUGGUAACUCUAAGUAAUUUAUCCUCUGCAGCAGGUCUUCCAUUCCUGUGGCAGUCCUCAUCAUAGCGGUUGAUGUAUUUUGCCACUGCACUUGAAGAAACUUUAAAAGUUCUUGAUAUUUUCCGUAUUGACUGACCUUCAUGUCUUAAAGUAAUGAUAGACUAUAAUUUUUCUUUGCUUAUUUGAGCUUGCCAUAAUUUGGACUUGGUCUUUUACCAAAUAGGGCUGUCUUCUGUAUACCACCCCUACCUUGUCCCAACACAACUGAUUGGCUCAAAUGCUUUAAGAAGGAAAGACAUUUAACAAGGCACACCUGUUAAUUGAAAUGCAUUCCAGGUGACUAACUCAUGAAGCUGAUUGAGAGAAUGCCAAGAGUGUGCAAAGCUGUCAUCAAGGCAAAGGGUGGCUACUUUGAAGAAUCUAAAAUAUAUUUUUAUUUGUUUAGUAUGCACAGCUGUCAUCAAGGCAAAGGGUAGCUACUUUGAAGAAUCUAAAAUCUAAAAUAAAUAUUUUGAUUUGUUUAUCACUUUUUUGGUUACUACAUGAUUCCAUAUGUGUUAUUUCAUAGUUUUGAUGUGUUCACUAUUAUUCUAUAAUGUAGAAAAUAUUACAAAUAGAGAAAAACCCUGGAAUGAGGUGUGUAGGUGAGUCCAAACUUUGGUUCUGUACCUUAGAUCAGGUCUGGGUGUGCCUUUAACUUCCCUUUUUUCAGUGCAACCAGGCUGGCAGCAGAGUCUGAACACAAAAUUACUAUUUUAGGCCCCAAUUCUUCCACCCAUCCCAAUGUCCACACUAGUGCUAGCAUUUCAGCAGAGAAGACUGAAACUCCAUCAGACAGCCACCUCCCCUAGUAUAUCCGAAACAAACCCUGCUCUCCCACUGCCUGGAUCCUUUGAUCCAUCUGUGAAGAUACCCAAGUAAGGAUCCUAGGCCCACCGCAGAUGGGCCACAACCUCAUGGAGACCAAAUGCAUUCCAGGUGACUACCUCAUGAAGCUGGUUGAGAGAAUGCCUAGAGUGUGCAAAGCUGUCAUCAAGGCAAAGGGUGGUUACUUUGUAGAAUCUCAAAUAUAUUUGGAUUUGUUUAACACUUUUUUUGGUUACUACAUGAUUCCAUAUGUAUUAUUUCAUAGUUUUGAUGUCUAUUAUUCUACAAUGUAGAAAUUAGUAAAAUAAAGAAAAACCCUUGAAUGAGUAGGUGUGUCCAAACUUUUGACUGGUACAGUACACACACACACGCACACACACACAAAUACAGAGAGAGACACACAGACACACAUACAGUUUUCUGUCGACAGGUUGGCAUUUCACUGACAUUUUCAUUGGAUAAUGACGUGGAAUCGCAUCUGCCCUUUAAAUAUUUGAAUCCCAGCUGCGAUAGAUUAUGGUUAUUUUAGCUUUCAGUGAAGUGCAACACUCGCUACUAGGGAAUUCCUGCCAGAGUCGAUCAGAGGUAGUGGUGUGUCCGUGUGUGAGAGUGUUCAGGAGAAUGGACGAGGCUGAAGUGGAGACAGGUCAGCAGUAGGCUUUAUUCACUGCAUGGGAAAGAUCUUGCAGCAGGGGACAUAGCUUCCAAAACAAACAACAUAACUCACCCACACCACCGUAUCCAAUGUACAGAACAGAAACAAUUUGACCUGACUGCUUCUACAUGUCCUAUAUGGCCUUCACAAAUACCGCUGUUGUCUGUGUUAUCGUGUGUGUGUGUGUGUGUGUGUGUGUGUGUGUGUGUGUGUGUGUGUGUGUGUGUGUGUGUGUGUGUGUGUGUGUGUCUGUGUGUUUGUCUGUGUGUGUGUGUGUGUGUGUGUGUGUGUCUAUCUCGUUAGAAAAAUAUAUAAUUUCAGUCUACCAGUGUGAGCACUUAUAAGGACAGGAGAGUUCCACACAGUCAAGUCAAGGCACAAACUUGAAGCGGCACAGCAGAGUACAACAGUGAACAGAACAGUAUGACAACACAGAGAAAAGCACUGUACAGGACUACUGAUGGUAGAGAAACCACCUGACUUCAUAGAGAGGGGGGGAGCGAGAAAAACCAAGAGAGAGACAUUAAAAACAUAAUUUAAACCUUAAAAAUGUACCAACAUGUAAAACAGACUGACCAAGGUCCAUCCACAGGGCCAGUGUUUCAGACUAACCAAGGUCCAUCCAUAGGGCCAGUGUAACAGACAAACCAAGGUCCAUCCACAGGGUCAGUGUUUCAGACUAACCAAGGUCCAUCCACAGGGCCAGUGUAACAGACUAACCAAGGUCCAUCCACAGGGUCAGUGUUUCAGACUAACCAAGGUCCAUCCAUAGGGCCAGUGUAACAGACAAACCAAGGUCCAUCCACAGGGUCAGUGUUUCAGACUAACCAAGGUCCAUCCACAGGGCCAGUGUAACAGACUAACCAAGGUCCAUCCACAGGGUCAGUGUUUCAGACUAACCAAGGUCCAUCCACAGGGCCAGUGUAACAGACUAACCAAGGUCCAUCCACAGGGUCAGUGUUUCAGACUAACCAAGGUCCAUCCACAGGGUCAGUGUUUCAGACUAACCAAGGUCCAUCCACAGGGCCAGUGUAACAGACUAACCAAGGUCCAUCCACAGGGUCAGUGUAACAGACUAACCAAGGUCCAUCCAUAGUGCCAGUGUAACAGACUAACCAAGGUCCAUCCAUAGGGCCAGUGUAAUAGGAACACAGUGUUUUAGUACAAAGUAUUUAAGCUACUCGUUGCAUCAUAUCGUACUGUGUGUGUUAUCAUCGUUAUCCAGUGUGUUAAAUGGCUAAUGAACUGCUUCCGAUGUUAUUAAACUGUACCCCGACAUUUCAAAUGCUCUGAGACUGAUUCAUUUCACAUGUGAUGCAUAUUAUUUGUUUCUCCAUGUUUCUUUCAGAAAACAAUGCAUAUAUUUAGUGUAAAAAUCAUCUGAAAAUAUUAGACUGCCAUCCACACACCUUCAAGGUUAUCUUCCUAGCAACUGGGAGCGUCUUACUUUUGUCAUCAUAAAAGCCUCCAUUUUCUAAAUAGCAUACAUGCCCUCCUAUUCACCAGGAAAGCUUGUCAAAGAAGAUUACAUGAAGAAAUCACUGUGAAAAACACAUCUACUCAAGUAUGUGGGUGUGGUGAAAAUGUCUUGUUCCUGUACAUAACAUUAGACACUUUAACCAUUGUUUGUCCACUUCAGAAGGUGUGUCUUCUCCCUACUCGUCUGGUCGCCUCAUUUUCUAUGUAAAAAUCAAUCAAAUGAUCACAGUGCUCUUUUCUGUAGCCUCUUCUCUUUUCUCCCCUGAGAGAGCUGCAUGUGUUAUGUUCUGGUAAAUAAGUGCUUUCAAAUCCAGCAUGUAGUUAAUAAUCAGAGCACAUGUAGCACUGCAUAGUGAAGGCUGUUUUACAGACUGAAUAUUAUAAAUGUUACCAAAAAUGACCAUCACUUGUUUUGAAUACAGUGCAAUCUGUAGUUUCAUUUCUGACCAAAAAUUCAAGAAAAGGAAAACAAGUUUUGAGUGUAUGUAUGUUUGUGCCGUCACACGGGACUGAAAGUAGAUUGCACCUGUACUGGGUUGACUUCCUACUGUAUGUAUGUUUGUGCCGUCACACGGGACUGAAAGUAGAUUGCACCUGUACUGGGUUGACUUCCUACUGUAUGUAUGUUUGUGCCGUCACACGGGACUGAAAGUAGAUUGCACCUGUACUGGGUUGACUUCCUACUGUAUGUAUGUUUGUGCCGUCACACGGGACUGAAAGUAGA